AUGAAUUUUAUGUUUUCUAUUUUUACCGUCUUUUACCUUUCAGUUUUUACAGUCUUUAAAAUUUAUUUCAGUGUUUUUAUUUCUGCUUUAUUUAAUUUCCAGUUUUAAUUUAAUUUUUCCGUACCAAAAACCAAAUUUUCAUAACAACCCCCCCACUUCGUGUUUGAUCCGAAACUGAACCAAAUUUGGUCCUUGUGAGACGACCUAGGAGUCACAUCCUAGCUAUACUGCAUUCUUUAAUUGCAAUCAAAUUUGUAUGACCGCGACAGUCGUUACCAGUAACUAUCAUGGGCCAGCAUGAAUAUGGUGAUGCAGACGCCUGAAUGUACGGGGUAAACCCAUCAGAGCAUAGACCAAGUCUGACAUUACGCGGUUCACUAGCAAAGGAUGGAUGUUUACGAUUGAAGUGCUUCCAAGCUUCACCAUCAGAAGGAUGACGCAAAAAUCCUUCAGUUUUGUUACCAUCGUGCCAUGUCAUGUGUUCUGAUGUUUGCAUUGAAGUAAACAUUAUUUGCAAUCUUGGUAUUAUAGGCAAGUAGAACAUGGACUUUAAGGGAAUUGGUUUUCUUUGCCUCCGUCCAGCAUGCAUCGUAUGAUAUCGAGAAGUCCACUGCUUGAAUGGGAACGUUCCAAUUAUAUUUGCCAGCCAUGAGUCUAAUGCACACUGACAAUUUUGACUCAGAUGAACCUUCAAAUACAGCAUGACGACGAAGAGCAUUGUCGACCAUCUCUUGCAUAUAGGAAAAUUGAUCUAUCUCAGAUGUAUGUACAAUAGUAUUCGAACUUGAUGCAAGCCGCUUUUCAGCUGCAGUGGAGGUCGAUGGAAUUUCUUCACCAUGAUAUGUCAAAACCGUGUAAUUAGGCAUGAACCCUUUUUGGUAAAGGUGAAGUUUGACCACUUCAUCUUUCAGAAUCCUUGUACAUUCGCACUUGAUGCAUGGACAUCGAAUUCCUCCAUCAAGGGCAUAAUAUUGACAUCGUCGGGCCGUCUCCACAAACUCUUCAACUCCAAGGACAAAAGAUUCCUUCAAACCUCUCCUUCCACUAUAACAACGGUCGUACGUCCAUCCACGAUGAUUGGGAAAAUGGGCCAUGUUCUGUGACAAGCCAAAGAAAUCAAAACUUAGCCAAAACAACAACACUCCAUGUGACAUAAGUAAUAAACCUAUUACUACUCAAGUCGAACAUGGAAGGCAAUUUCAACACUAUUGUCAUAGGCAUUCAAUAAGGGCAUGCAAAGACAAGUCCUCAGUAUUGAACCGUCUUUGACAUCCUAAGUGGUUGUGUAUUAAAUUUGGGGGAGUCAAUUUUCUAACAUUACUGAAGUUCUCUUUUAUAGAGUACUUCCACAUAUUUUGUACAUUGUAAGUGUUUAAGGUACUUUCACCCUUCUCAUUCCAUUGAGAAUGUGUGUAGUACGAUAGGACUUCA